UUGUAAGUUUCUAAUAUUACUCUAAUGUAAAUAAGGGCUUCAUUGUUAACCUGGUGACUCCUUCAUCUUCUCAUUCUUCUUCAAGGACAUCACUGCAGCCUCUCCAUCACCAGUCGAAGAACAGUCACCUCCUCGCCGCUGGCGUAGCCAUCGCUAGGACGGCUGCUGCCUCUUUCCUGUUACAACAAUCGAAGAACCAAGCUGCCCCCUCUCCCCUGUUGCUGUCGACGUCAGCCACCAACUCGCCUCUCCCCUGUUUUCUCCCCUGUUGCUGAGACAGAGAGAAAUCAAAUCACGGGUAAAAAGAGGGAACCAAACUCCUCUACUGCUUAAUCACCAGAUUCUGGUUAGCUUCAUUAACGCUUCUUUCCUGAUUUGAUUUUAUUGAUGCAAUUACAUUUAUCUGAUGCUAGGUUUGGAACUAUUGAGUGAUUCGGUUGCGCAUGAACUCCUUUCUCCACUUUUCUCAUUUUCUUUUCUGCAUCGAUGUUUGAAUUCUGUGUUUCAUUGCUAUUGAAUCACCAUGGUUGAUAGUUUCAACGAUGUUAUAAUAAUGACUUUGAUAUUAAUUAGUUCUGAAGCUUUUCAUAUACUCCUAUGAUUAAAUCUCGUUGCAAUUUAAUAGAUGAAAAGCAAUAGCAUAUUUUAGUGAAGCUGUAGAUUCAAGAAAUGUAGUAUAGGAAUCUUGGGAAAGUUUUUUGGAGGUUUUUACUAGGGUAAUGCUUUUUUUUUUUCAAUUAUUAUUUAAAAAUAUUGAAAUGAAAUGUUGUGGUAUUGUUUCUUUUUCUUCUUUCAUUGUUUUCUGUAGUUUUGAUGUAAAAUCUUGGGUUUUUUGUUUAUUUUAUUAUUAUUUUUUAAAGGUUGAUAUAUGGGAUGCAGAGAAAUGACUGUAUUCACAUAAGCUGAUACAAAUCUAUUUUUCUUUCUUUAAUGUCUGUGUUUUGAUCUUCAGUAUAAUCUUGGAGAGUUCUUUCAAGGUGUUCAUGUUAUUUGUAGAUGGUUUUCAUGUUAACUAACUAAUUCAAUUUUCAUGCUUAAAGUUCCUCUUUUUAUAUAGGUCAUAAAUGAAUAUUUUGGUUUGUUUAAGAGGAUAACUUUUGACAGUGUAUUUGAUUUGGGGGGCAUUAUAAGAAAUGGAUGAACUUUGUAUAUGAACUUUGUAAUGGGGAAAUGUGUGUGCUUCCUGUGUUCAUUUUGCAUCUCCCGACAAAUCAUUGGUACUGUCUUGAGCUAAAGAGUUCAGUUUUGUAAUUAGUGAACUUUGAUUGGUUACCUCGUUGAUCGAUUUAUACUGUCUCGGCAAGAACUAUAUUUUUUAUCCCUGAUUGGUUAUUUCCAAGGCUAAUAUACCUCGAUCUAGUUAUGUUAUGUUGUUGUGCUAGUUCAUAUAGGUGUUUCGAGUAGUCAAACAUAUCAUGAUAUCUAAUUGGUAAGUGGAUUGAGCUUUUUAUAGACAAUAGUUGUGCAGGAGCUAUUUAUAGUUGUGACCGGUGAACCAUCAACUUGAUGUUUUUUUAGCACAGUCCAUAAUCACAAUUCACAACUUGAAUGGCUAAUGGAUCUACUGCCUCUAGUUUUAAUAGUAUGCAGUGACAAGAAACUUUGCUCGUAACAAUAUCCCCCACCCGCCAUUAUAUUAACAUAAGUAGAAAGAAUAUGAUUCCUCCUUGGCAGAAAUAAUGCUUCAUGUGUUUGACGAAUACUCUUUCAAAUUGUUGGUUUCAACCAAAGUUGCAUAAUCACUUUGCUCUAAAGAGUUUUUUUAAUAGUAAGGUUGAUCCGUACUCAAGCUUAGAUGGGAAGGGAAAGUAAUGGUAAUAUAGAACAGAGGUUGGAUCAGAUGGCUUCAGAAGAAGAAGGACAAGCCGAAGAAGAAGCACAACAAGCUCCUCCACCACCCCUCGUGCCUCAAGGGCAUUAUUUUCCGCCACAAGAGUAUUGGCAACAAUUGACUGCGUCCCUUGAGCAAAUAAGGGUGAACCAAAAUAGCCAUGAUGUCCUUCUCCAAAAUAGCCAUGAUGUCCUUCUCCGUCAGAUAAGGGAUAACCAUGAUGUCCUUCUCCGUGAGAUAAGGGUGAACCAAGAAAACCAUAGUGUCCUUCUCCGUCAGAUUGUGACUGUGCAAGAAAGAAUGCACCUCGAGCUUCUCCAAUUGAGACAGGAGAUAGGGAGGCUGCAAGGACCACAAGGAACACAACCGGAUAAGGGGGAUGGCCACCACGAUCAUUGAGGUAGUUGAGUUCUUUUCAUGCUUGCCUUCUGCUUUUCUUCCUUUAUGAUUAUGAUUAUGUUUCUGUUUUCAGUUUAUUUCGGUUUAUUUGCAUGAGUCCUAUUUUUCUAUUUUUUUUUAGUUUUUAGUUUAAUGUUUUUAUUUUAAUGAUGUCUCCUGUCAUGUCUUCAAGCAGUAUUCAAAAGACAAAAGAAGAGAACAGUGGUGUUAUCAUAUUAGAAAUUGAGUUUAUUUUACAA